AUGUAAUUCAAGGGAUUUGGAAACGGAGUAUAUACCACACUCAAUGAGGGCUGUUGAGGUAUUAAUUUGCGAUGUUCACUGGAUUGCUAUAAGGAGCUUAACAGAGUAACGCAAGAUUGGUAUUACGAAUUGUAUAAACACUAUAUUAUAUAACAUCUAGUUUAUUUUAUGAGAGCAAAAUAAACAAUAGUAUAAACCAGAUAAAAUAAAGCGCUCGUUUAAUUAGGCGCUUGAUGAAAGGUUUUUUAAAGAGGUGGGGAGAAUGAUAAAAAACUUGAACAGUAUUAAAUGAGAAUAAUCAUGGGUAAAGCAAAUGGAACAGCAAUUAGCAGAAUGAAUAAUUUCAAUUUGGUGAAGGAUCGAAUGGUUUUAGCCUCUGAUUUAGCAGUUAACGUAUUCCAAAAUUGUUGACCUCCAGGAUGUUCACGUAUAUCGUAUCCCAAUGGAGCUAACAAGGUAGGCAAAACAUAAUGAGUAGUAACUGUAAUACUUGGAACAAAUGUUAUUUCUGGAAGAAGAGUCGCUGUAAACUGGGGUAAUGAAGUUUCGAUUUUGCUGGUAGGAUAUAAAACCUUUAAUGAACGUUAGUAG